GCAGGAAUGGCGGAAUUGGUAGACGCGCUGGACUCAAAAUCCAGUGGCCCUUAAAGCCGUGAGAGUUCGAGUCUCUCUUCCUGUA
rfam:Ignavibacteria bacterium GWF2_33_9 gwf2_scaffold_1800, whole genome shotgun sequence.